rnacentral:rRNA from 1 species
CCUGAAGUGCGUAACCGCAAGGAGCGUCCUAGGGUAAAGUCGGUAACUGGGGCUAAGUCGUAACAAGGUAGCCGUACCGGAAGGUGUGGCUGGAAUACCUCCUUUCUGGAGC